rnacentral:rRNA from 1 species
CCUACGGGAGGCAGCAGUGGGGAAUAUUGCACAAUGGGGGAAACUCUGAUGCAGCGACGCCGCGUGAGUGAAGAAGUAUUUCGGUAUGUAAAGCUCUAUCAGUAGGGAAGAAAAUGACGGUACCUGAUUAAGAAGCCCCGGCUAACUACGUGCCAGCAGCCGCGGUAAUACGUAGGGGGCAAGCGUUAUCCGGAUUUACUGGGUGUAAAGGGAGCGUAGACGGCAGCACAAGUCUGGAGUGAAAUGCCGGGGCUUAACCCCGGAACUGCUUUGGAAACUGUGCAGCUAGAGUGCAGGAGAGGUAAGUGGAAUUCCUAGUGUAGCGGUGAAAUGCGUAGAUAUUAGGAGGAACACCAGUGGCGAAGGCGGCUUACUGAACUGUAACUGACGUUGAGGCUCGAAAGCGUGGGGAGCAAACAGGAUUAGAUACCCUAGUAGUC